rnacentral:rRNA from 1 species
AUGGCAAUGUUGUCAACCCAGCAGUCGGCACCUCGUUUGAUUCAUUGGAUGAAGCAUAUCAUUCUAAAAUUUGUAUUCGUGGGAGGUUGGAUUUGGGAUAAGGUAUUCGAAAAGCAGGCUAAAUGUGGAGAGGGUGAAGUGCAUGCAGGAGAUAGUCUGUGGAUGGUAAACCAGAGAGGGAGAAUACAAGAUCAACACGGUGCGACUGUGCUGCCAGGAUCAGGCUACCGAGGUUGGAUGACAAUGGAUGGUAUAUUUCAGAGCACCGGACGCUCUGUCAAGCACUUGUGGCGAGAAGAUGCACUGGCUUUCACACAAGCUGAUUGA